rnacentral:rRNA from 1 species
UACGUAGGGUGCGAGCGUUAAUCGGAAUUACUGGGCGUAAGCGUGCGCAGGCGGUUUUGCAAGCCGGAUGUGAAAUCCCCGGGCUUAACCUGGGAAUGGCAUUUGGGACUGCAAGGCUGGAGUGCGGCAGAGGAGACUGGGAAUUCCUGGUGUAGCAGUGAAAUGACGUAGAUAUCAGGAGGAACACCGGUGGCGAAGGCGGUUCUCUGGGCCUUACCUGACGCUGGAGGAGCGAAAGCGUGGGGAGCGAACAGG